UGGGGAAUAUUGCACAAUGGGGGAAACCCUGAUGCAGCGACGCCGCGUGAACGAAGAAGGUAUUCGUAUCGUAAAGUUCUGUCCUAUGGGAAGAUAAUGACAGUACCAUAGAAGAAAGCUCCGGCUAAAUACGUGCCAGCAGCCGCGGUAAUACGUAUGGAGCGAGCGUUGUCCGGAAUUAUUGGGGGUAAAGGGUACGCAGGCGGUUUAAUAAGUUGAAUGUUAAAGAUCUGGGCUCAACCCCGCAAAGCAUUGGAAACUGAUUAACUUGAGUAGUGGAGAGGAAAGUGGAGUUCCUAGUGUAGUGGUGAAAUACGUAGAUAAUAGGUGGAGUACCAGUAGCGAAGGCGACUUUCUGGACACAAACUGACGCUGAGGUACGAAAGCGUGGGGAGCAAACAGG
rnacentral:rRNA from 1 species